rnacentral:rRNA from 1 species
UACGGAAGGCAGCAGUGGGGAAUAUUGCACAAUGGGCGAAAGCCUGAUGCAGCUAUGCCGCGUGUAUGAAGAAGGCCUUAGGGUUGUAAAGUACUUUCAUCGGGGAGGAAAAAACAAAACUAAUAAUUUUAUUUCUUGACGUUACCCGAAAAAGAAGCACCGGCUAACUCCGUGCCAGCAGCCGCGGUAAUACGGAGGGUGCUAGCGUUAAUCAGAAUUACUGGGCGUAAAGAGCACGUAGGUGGUUUUUUUAAAGUCAGAUGUGAAAUCCCUGGGCUUAACCUAGGAACUGCAUUUUGAAACUGAAAUACUAGAGUAUCGUAGAGGGAGGUAGAAUUCUAGGUGUAGCGGUGAAAUGCGUAGAUAUCUGGAGGAAUACCUGUGGCGAAAGCGGCCUCCUAAACGAAUACUGACACUGAGGGUGCGAAAGCGUGGGGAGCAAACGAGGGAUUAGAUA